AUAUAUUUUAAUAUAUAAAUUAUUUAUUUUUAGCUAUUUAAAUUUUUUUAAUUUUUCGUUUAGAUUGUAUAUAUCGGAGUCAUUGGAUAAUGAAGGUCUUCAACAUGUUGGAUGAAAGGGCAAGGGACAGUCUGACAAAGCAUCCUUAGAAAUGUCUCGAUUCAGACGAGCGGAAACUCAUCAAAUUGCAAUUUAAUCUAACUGAGGAUGAGGAAAAUUACGAAUGUUUGCAAGCGCCAGAUGAGAUAAUUGUUUUAGACACUACUGCUGCAUCAAGCCAGUCACAAGACAUAACGCUACAAGCGCCACUAUCGAAUUCCGAAAAUUUGGUUACACAUAUAUAAUAUAUAUCUAGGUCUAUAUAUAAGUCGGAAAAACGCAAUCAAAUUUUGCAAAAUUGUAAUGAAACUGAAUUUUUGUAAACCAUUAUAAAUGAUUUGCAACUUUAAAUAUAUAUCAAAAGAAAGAUAAAUCGAUUACCUUUCUGUUGAUUAUAAUACUGUUAAAAUCGCUUAAAUUUUUUAUAGAAAUUUUGCAACUUUUGAAAGCGUCUAUAUAUAAGUCGGAAAAACGCAAUCAAAUUUUGCAAAAUU